AUUGAACGCUGGCGGCAUGCUUUACACAUGCAAGUCGAACGGUAACAGGGUGCUUGCACCGCUGACGAGUGGCGAACGGGUGAGUAAUACAUCGGAAUGUACCCAGUAAUGGGGGAUAACGCUUCGAAAGGAGUGCUAAUACCGCAUACGCCCUGAGGGGGAAAGGGGGGGACCGCAAGGCCUCACGUUAUUGGAGCAGCCGAUGGCUGAUUGGCUAGUUGGUGAGGUAAAGGCUCACCAAGGCGACGAUCAGUAGCGGGUCUUAGAGGACGAUCCGCCACACGGGAACUGGGACACGGUCCAGACUCCUACGGGAGGCAGCAGUGGGGAAUCUUGGACAAUGGGCGAAAGCCUGAUCCAGCAAUGCCGCGUGCGUGAAGAAGGCCUUCGGGUUGUAAAGCGCCUUUGUAUGGGAGCAAAUCCUGGCCUCUAAUACAGGUCGGGGAUGAGAGUACCAGAAGAAUAAGGACCGGCUAACUACGUGCCAGCCGCCGCAGUAACAC
rnacentral:rRNA from 1 species